rnacentral:rRNA from 1 species
UAGGUGACGCAGCGACGCUCCCCCGGGAGCGAGCACCCGCACCUAUGGAAGCCUUGCAGUUCAGUCUAUCUUGGAUAGGCAACACCGGCAUGAUGACUGGGACCUUACCCCAACCGGUAAGCACCAGCAGCUGCUAACGCGGCUCACAGAUCAAACGUCGGUGGCUCAGAGAGGUCGCGGCCACCCCCUGCCUGGGACGCCUGCGUCCUCGCCUCUGAGUUGAGAGAUGACCGGCCCCACCACGCGAGUGAUCGGGAACUGUCGCGUUCCGUAGGUGAACCUGCGGAAGGAUCAUUA